AUACAUGCAGUAGAACGCUGAAGAGAGGAGCUUGCUCUUCUUGGAUGAGUUGCGAACGGGUGAGUAACGCGUAGGUAACCUGCCUUGUAGCGGGGGAUAACUAUUGGAAACGAUAGCUAAUACCGCAUAACAAUGGAUGACACAUGUCAUUUAUUUGAAAGGGGCAAUUGCUCCACUACAAGAUGGACCUGCGUUGUAUUAGCUAGUAGGUGAGGUAAUGGCUCACCUAGGCGACGAUACAUAGCCGACCUGAGAGGGUGAUCGGCCACACUGGGACUGAGACACGGCCCAGACUCCUACGGGAGGCAGCAGUAGGGAAUCUUCGGCAAUGGGGGCAACCCUGACCGAGCAACGCCGCGUGAGUGAAGAAGGUUUUCGGAUCGUAAAGCUCUGUUGUAAGUCAAGAACGGGUGUGAGAGUGGAAAGUUCACACUGUGACGGUAGCUUACCAGAAAGGGACGGCUAACUACGUGCCAGCAGCCGCGGUAAUACGUAGGUCCCGAGCGUUGUCCGGAUUUAUUGGGCGUAAAGCGAGCGCAGGCGGUUUGAUAAGUCUGAAGUUAAAGGCUGUGGCUCAACCAUAGUUCGCUUUGGAAACUGUCAAACUUGAGUGCAGAAGGGGAGAGUGGAAUUCCAUGUGUAGCGGUGAAAUGCGUAGAUAUAUGGAGGAACACCGGUGGCGAAAGCGGCUCUCUGGUCUGUAACUGACGCUGAGGCUCGAAAGCGUGGGGAGCGAACAGGAUUAGAUACCCUGGUAGUCCACGCCGUAAACGAUGAGUGCUAGGUGUUGGAUCCUUUCCGGGAUUCAGUGCCGCAGCUAACGCAUUAAGCACUCCGCCUGGGGAGUACGACCGCAAGGUUGAAACUCAAAGGAAUUGACGGGGGCCCGCACAAGCGGUGGAGCAUGUGGUUUAAUUCGAAGCAACGCGAAGAACCUUACCAGGUCUUGACAUCCCGAUGCUAUUUCUAGAGAUAGAAAGUUACUUCGGUACAUCGGUGACAGGUGGUGCAUGGUUGUCGUCAGCUCGUGUCGUGAG
rnacentral:rRNA from 1 species